rnacentral:rRNA from 1 species
AUCAAUGGUCCUAACGCCCUGAAUGCACCUGAUCUCGUCUGAUUUCGGAAGCUAAGCAGGCUCAGGCCUAGUGCUUAGAUGGGAAACUACCUGGGAAUGUCGCACGCCUGUAAUC